AUCAGAACAAUGUAAGAUAAAAUUAACAGAAUCCCAAGACUGUACAGUAUACGGUAUGUUUACUUGAGGCAGACAGAAUCAUUAUGGACCUUUUUUUCUCUCUUAAGACUGACAGUCCACAAAUUAAAAAGCUCAAUUCUACAUGAUGGUAAUGGCAGAAGAAUGCUUCAGAAUGCAUGCAGCCAUAGUUAGAUCAGGUUGAAUGCUUCCCCUUCUAGUCACACACACACACACACACAAUGAGCAUGGCUACAACACAGGAAGCUGACUAUAUAAUGGUGCCGGAGGGGAUGGCUGCCGUUUUAUGGCUGAAAUUUAUGGGCUCAAACUCAUUUUGUACAUAAUGUUGCUACUAACGUCUUUAACGAAAAUAGCUUCUGGACAUCAGAACAGCACAACUCACCUCGAACUGGACAAAGAUUUCUUCUUUAAUGAGUCCAACGCAAAGGAUAUACUGCUUCCCAGAGACCAGGCACAAAUCCCUGUCAUUCGUGUGAAGAAAAGAUGGAAAUACAGUGGGCGGAGGUCUGGGCGCAUUGUGAGAAUUCGUCGCCAAAGUGGUGUUUUGAGAAGACAUCUGCUGGGAUAACACUUCUGUACUGCUACAGUCAAACUAAAGACAUCUGCUGGGAUAACAGUUCUGUACUGCUACCGUCUAACUAAAGACAUCUGCUGGGAUAACACUUCUGCACUGCUACCGUCUAACUAAAGACAUCUGCUGGGAUAACACUUCUGUACUGCUACAGUCAAACUAAAGACAUCUGCUGGGAUAACACUUCUGCACUGCUACAGUCUAACUAAAGACAUCUGCUGGGAUAACACUUCUGCACUGCUACAGUCAAACUAAAGACAUCUGCUGGGAUAACACUUCUGUACUGCUACCGUCAAACUAAAGACAUCUGCUGGGAUAACACUUCUGUACUGCUACAGUCAAACUAAAGACAUCUGCUGGGAUAACACUUCUGUACUGCUACAGUCAAACUAAAGACAUCUGCUGGGAUAACACUUCUGUACUGCUACAGUCAAACUAAAGACAUCUGCUGGGAUAACACUUCUGUACUGCUACAGUCAAACUAAAGACAUCUGCUGGGAUAACACUUCUGUACUGCUACAGUCAAACUAAAGACAUCUGCUGGGAUAACACUUCUGUACUGCUACAGUCAAACUAAAGACAUCUGCUGGGAUAACACUUCUAUACUGCUACAGUCUAACUAAGACAUCUGCUGGGAUAACACUUCUGUACUGCUACAGUCAAACUAAAGACAUCUGCUGGGAUAACACUUCUGUACUGCUACAGUCAAACUAAAGACAUCUGCUGGGAUAACACUUCUGUACUGCUACAGUCAAACUAAAGACAUCUGCUGGGAUAACACUUCUGUACUGCUACAGUCUAACUAAAAAAUCUGCUGGGAUAACACUUCUGUACGGCUACAGUCUGACUAAAGACAUCUGCAGGGAUAAAACGUUGGUACUGCUACAGUCUAACUAAAGAUGUGUCAUGAAUUUGGAAUGGUUCUACAGUCUAGUAUCCCAGAGUGACAAACUUGAGUGUAUCAAAGGUUAAUCACUGCCCCGCAGGCCAAGGUAUGAUAAAACAUUCUAUCCACAUUAUCCAAAUCAACUCC
rnacentral:lncRNA from 1 species